GGCGUGAAAGGCAGGGGCUCAACCUCUGGACUGCGUUGGAUACUUCCGUGCUUGAGGACUGGAGGGGAGACUGGAAUUCACGGUGUAGCAGUGAAAUGCGUAGAUAUCGUGAGGAAGACCGGUGGCGAAGGCGAGUCUCUGGACAGAUCCUGACGCUGAGGCACGAAGGCUGGGGGAGCGAACAGGAUUAGAUACCCUGGUAGUCCCAGCAGUAAACGAUGUGAGCUUGAUGUGGGGGGAUUCGACCCCUUCCGUGUCGAAGCUAACGCGAUAAGCUCACCGCCUGAGGAGUACGGCCGCAAGGCUAAAACUCAAAGAAAUUGACGGGGACCCGCACAAGCGGUGGAGUAUGUGGCUUAAUUCGAUGCAACGCGAAGAACCUUACCUGGCCUUGACAUGCAUUGUGUCGUCGGUGAAAGCCGGCUAGUCCUGGAAACAGGACGCUUUGCACAGGUGCUGCAUGGCUGUCGUCAGCUCGUGUCGUGAGAUGUUGGGUUAAGUCCCGCAACGAGCGCAACCCUUGUGGUCAGUUACUAACCGGCUUAGCCGGAGGACUCUGGCCAGACUGCCCUGUCAAACGGGGAGGAAGGUGGGGACGACGUCAAGUCAGUAUGGCCCUUAUGGCCAGGGCUGCACACGUACUACAAUGCCCGGUACAAUGUGAACCGAAACCGCGAGGUGGAGGAAAUCGCUCUUGAAAACCGGGCCCAGUUCGGAUUGGAGUCUGCAACUCGACUCCAUGAAGUCGGAAUCGCUAGUAAUGG
rnacentral:rRNA from 1 species